rnacentral:rRNA from 1 species
GGGGGGGGGGGGGGGGGGGUGGUGGAGGGGGGGCGAGGGGGCAGGCGAGGGGCUUGCUCCUCUGGCGUUAGCGGCGGGGGGGUGAGUAGCACGUGGGUAACCUACCUAUAAGACUGGGAUAACUUCGGGAGACCGGAGCUAAUGCCGGAUAAUAUAUUGAACCGCAUGGUUCCAUAGUGAAAGACGGUUUUGCUGUCACUUAUAGAUGGAUCCGCGCCGCAUUAGCUAGUUGGUAAGGUAACGGCUUACCAAGGCAACGAUGCGUAGCCGACCUGAGAGGGUGAUCGGCCACACUGGAACUGAGACACGGUCCAGACUCCUACGGGAGGCAGCAGUAGGGAAUCUUCCGCAAUGGGCGAAAGCCUGACGGAGCAACGCCGCGUGAGUGAUGAAGGUCUUCGGAUCGUAAAACUCUGUUAUUAGGGAAGAACAAAUGUGUAAGUAACUAUGCACGUCUUGACGGUACCUAAUCAGAAAGCCACGGCUAACUACGUG